UUCAUUGCCUCCUGCUGACAGAAUACUGAGGAGGGAGAGGCAAGGAGACCUUUCUAAUUGUAGAUACUUCUCCUUUGCAGAGUGCCUGUUGGAAGUGCUGCUGCAGUGGACUGUGGUGGAAGGGUCAAAAAAUGCUCGUCAGCUGCUGCUGGAAGGGAAUGGGCAACAACAGAAAGACAAGCAGGCAGGGGAAUCUAGACAUUUCUGUGAAAUCUAUGGAAGAGUCAGGAAUGGAAGCCAAACAAUGGAAGAUGAUGUGACCUGUAACACACUGAGACCCUGUGAUAGACAAUAUAUGAACCCACACUGCUCCCUCUUGCCUAUAAACCAGUGCCUGCUAAGUGAAUCCCCUCUUGCCUGCCUUCCCUGAGUGCCUAUAGAGCUGUGUUCAAACUGCUGGAAGGAGCUGCACUGCAAAAGGAACAGGGAAGGAUGAAACCAGUCAGUAGGUGAGUACCAGCCAAUGCAACAAUCAAGGAGCUGGUCUAUGUAAAUCACGUAGUUGGUUUUUU
rnacentral:lncRNA from 1 species